rnacentral:rRNA from 1 species
AACGAACGCUGGCGGCGUGCCUAACACAUGCAAGUCGAGCGAGAAAGGGGAGCAAUCCCCGAGUAAAGCGGCAGACGGGUGAGUAACACGUGGGUAAUCUGCCCUCGAGCGGGGAAUAACAUCUCGAAAGAGGUGCUAAUUCCGCAUAACAUCCGCGAUCCUUCGGGAAUGCGGAUCAAAGGUGGGGAUCUUCGGACCUACCACUUGAGGAGGAGCCCGCGCCUGAUUAGCUAGUUGGUGGGGUAAUGGCCUACCAAGGCGACGAUCAGUAGCCGGCCUGAGAGGACGACCAGCCACACUGGAACUGAGACACGGUCCAGACACCUACGGGUGGCAGCAGUCGAGGAUUUUUCUCAAUGGGGGAAACCCUGAAGGAGCGACGCCGCGUGAGGGAUGAAGGUCUUCGGAUUGUAAACCUCUGUCAUCUGGGAACAAUGUCCCGACAAAUAAGAUUUGUCGGGAUUGAUAGUACCGG